rnacentral:ncRNA from 1 species
AUAUGCACAGUGAAAAAGAUUAGUAGUUUUAAUGUUUUUUUAGAGAGAUGAUGUUUGGUGGAAAUCAUUAUAACAUUGAAAUGAAUGGAGCUUUUGAGUGUAAUAAGAAUAAAGUUGGGCUUAAGCCAAGAAGGGUGGAACCGCGGAAUUAAUAUUUCGUCCCUUUG